rfam:Canis lupus familiaris chromosome X, whole genome shotgun sequence.
CGGGGGAGGCGGGAUCCUGGGCUGUGUCCCGGCGCCCUGUGCUCCGGAGCCUGCGCUGGUGGAUUCGCGCUCCCGGGCCGCUCAGCCCCCU